rnacentral:rRNA from 1 species
AGCUCCAAUAGCGUAUAUUAAAGUUGUUGCGGUUAAAAAGCUCGUAGUUGGAUCUCGGCAGGCAGGGGGUGGUUCGCUCCUUAGCGCUACUGCCCCAUUUGCAUGGGUGAUUGAUAGAGGUUUCGGGGUGCUCUUCGUUGAGUGACCCGGAGCGCUAUCAGGUUUACUUUGAAAAAAUUAGAGUGCUCAAAGCAGGCUUUUCACGCUUGAAUAUUCGUGCAUGGAAUAAUAGAAUAGGAACUCGUGUCUAUUUUGUUGGUUUUCGGAAAUCGAGUUAAUGAUUAAUAGGGACAAUUGGGGGCAUUAGUAUUCAGACGACAGAGGUGAAAUUCUUGGACCGUCUGAAGACUAACUACUGCGAAAGCAUUUGCCAAGAGUGUUUUCA